rnacentral:rRNA from 1 species
AAUGAACGCUGGCGGCAGGCUUAACACAUGCAAGUCGAGCGGGGGAGGUUGCUUCGGUAACUGACCUAGCGGCGGACGGGUGAGUAAUGCUUAGGAAUCUGCCUAUUAGUGGGGGACAACAUUCCGAAAGGGAUGCUAAUACCGCAUACGCCCUACGGGGGAAAGCAGGGGAUCUUCGGACCUUGCGCUAAUAGAUGAGCCUAAGUCGGAUUAGCUAGUUGGUGGGGUAAAGGCCUACCAAGGCGACGAUCUGUAGCGGGUCUGAGAGGAUGAGCCGCCACACUGGGACUGAGACACGGCCCAGACUCCUACGGGAGGCAGCAGUGGGGAAUAUUGGACAAUGGGCGGAAGCCUGAUCCAGCCAUGCCGCGUGUGUGAAGAAGGCCUUUUGGUUGUAAAGCACUUUAAGCGAGGAGGAGGCUACUAGUACUAAUACUACUGGAUAGUGACGUUACUCGCAGAAUAAGCACCGGCUAACUCUGUGCCAGCAGCCGCAGUAAAAC